rnacentral:sRNA from 1 species
CUCAGUGUCCUGUAUACUAACAUGAUAUUCACAGUUUUCUAUGUUACUUGUGAUUUCUAGCAUAGGCAGAUUUGAUUUUUUUUAUUAUAUUUCUUAUGGAAUCUGUCCAUUAUGCUGAUGAUUUUGGUUGUGAAGUCUGAUUUUUGAAAUACAUUUUCAUCUUUAUUGAAUAUUUUUUUCUUUUCCCUUUGUUGUAUUCAUUUCCUGUAAAAAUAUCACUUGUGCGUUUAGUGUGUAUGUAUGAGGAUGCACAUGCUCAUAUUUAUUCGGGAUGUAAUGAGUUACGAUUUAAUGAAAUGAUUUUUAAGGUAAAGAUUAAAGUAUCUAAAUAUGUGUAUACAAACAGAUGAUUUAAAACAUUAUUUUGUGUUUAUGACGUCAUAAAACACUCUGUCAUCACUGGGAUACUCGCCAGAAGUUCUCUCAAAAUGUUCUUGAUUGGUUAGCUAUGUUAUAUUUUUAGCAACGUCAUUAUGUAACGUCAGAUUUGAUUGGUUUAUAGCUCAAUGUGAUUAGGUGUAUAACACGGAAUCAUGGGAGAAACGAUUUGUACAUUGUAUGUGAAAGUGCCUGUAUAUUAAAUCAUUGCUGUAUCAAUUGUGUAUGGAAGGUUGUAUUGUCUAAUAAAUGAGGCCUUUU